UACGUAGGGUGCGAGCGUUGUCCGGAAUUAUUGGGCGUAAAGAGCUCGUAGGCGGUUUGUCACGUCUGCUGUGAAAACUGGAGGCUCAACCUCCAGCCUGCAGUGGGUACGGGCAGACUAGAGUGCGGUAGGGGAGAUUGGAAUUCCUGGUGUAGCGGUGGAAUGCGCAGAUAUCAGGAGGAACACUGAUGGCGAAGGCAGAUCUCUGGGCCGUAACUGACGCUGAGGAGCGAAAGCAUGGGGAGCGAACAGG
rnacentral:rRNA from 1 species